rnacentral:rRNA from 1 species
CCCUUAGAUGUUCUGGGCCACACGCGCGCUACACUGUUCGACGCAGCGAGUCUUAACCUUGACCGAAAGGUUUGGGUAAUCUUCAGCAAAGUCGAACGUGAUGGGGAUCGAUCAUUGCAAUUAUUGAUCGUGAACGAGGAAUUCCUAGUAAGUGCAAGUCAUCAGCUUGCGCUGAUUACGUCCCUGCCCUUUGUACACACCGCCCGUCGCUACUACCGAUUGAAUGGUUUAGUGAGAUCUCUGGAUUGACGCUGGCUAGGGGGCGACCCUUGGCCAGGCUGUCGAGAAACUGCUCAAACUUGAUCAUUUAGAGGAAGUAAAAGUCGUAACA